AUGGUCCCCAGGCUCCUCUUCUCUGUGGCCCUGUGUCUCCUGGGGGCAGGACCCCUGGAUGCAGGAAUCACCCAAAGACCAAGGUACGUGAUCACGAGGAGAGGAAAGAAGGUGACACUGAGCUGUCACCAGACUGAUAGACAUAACGCUUUGUCUUGGUAUGGACAAGACCCGGGCCACGGGCUGAGGCGGAUCUAUUUCUCAGUGGGUGUUGGGCUCAUCAGCAAAGGGCAGGUCCCCGAAGGAUACAGUGUCAAUAGAUCAAAUAUCGAGGACUUCCCCCUCACGCUGGAGUCGGCCACCCCCUCCCAGACAUCUGUGUACUUCUGCGCCAGCAGUGAAGGAGCAAGUGCACAGUGCUGCACGGCGGCCUCCUCUCUGCACACAAAGGCCCGAGGAGGCCCUGCUGCCCCUGGGUCUUGGGGAGCCCUGUGCAAACUCCUACCUGGGAGCCCCAGUCGCCUGUGCCGGCAGGGCACCCUUGGUGUGUGGUGGGAUCCCCUCCAGGGCAGUGUCUGCCAGGCCAGGACCGCCCAGGGCCUUGGGCACACGUGUCUGCCCUGUGGCCGGCUGUCCGUCUACCUGUCCUCUGCUGUGGCUCAAUUGGCAGGAAGGCUGUUGCGCCAGCUCUAG